UUUGUAACAGCUGGGGUAUUAAUAUCAGACAAGUCUUGGAAGCUCAACGGUGCGUUUACUGCUGCGGACAGUUUUACCUCAAACACAGAAGGAAACAGGACGAAACAAUGGUGUGACUGCUGAUUAAAGCUACCAUCUACGUGGUGAGGAAGAUCCGGGCUUCCAUUGCUGAGGGAGAGCAACUGGAAAAGCCCAUCAUUACACCAUGUAGUGCAUUAGCUGAAGGGAAGGCGGGGAAUGGAGUACCUGCUGCACUAACCUCAGGACCUGGUGAUGGUGUCGGUGGAGCAGCAGGCUCUGGGAUGUCCUCGGAGACAGCUGUGCAAAAGUGUGGCUCCUGACGUUAAAGAUUAGGCUGGACACUGGAACUGUGGUCUACUCAGUGGCAAAAUUGAAUUUGUUACAUGUGUAUUGUUGCAGCAAAAGGCAAUAAUUUACUUUCAAGGAUGAUUUCUAACCAUCUGUAUGAAACGGUUGACAUUAAUUAUGUCUAUACAAAAGUUUACAAACACAGUUUUGGAAUACGAAGAAUAUUAUCUCAGCACUUUCCAGUGGCCAUGCCCAGCUCAGGAUGACUCAUGUGUAGGCCUUUUUCACAGUCGACAUUUUGACUUACCUCUGCAGCAAAAAAGGGCAACUAAUAAUAAUAAGUAAUGACUUUUUAAAUUGUAGUUUUGCGGGUGAUUUACAUUGCAAAAUACCACAGGGCCUUGCUUUUACAUAUAUGAAUGCCAUACAGAUAUUUAUGCCAUUAAGCGUUUGUGUGGUUAGUCAACAUGGUCUCUGUGAAAAAGGCCUAAAUUUAUAAACUGCAGUGUUUGAAGUUCUCCUCACAAACCUCUCUUCAGGGGCUGAGCAGGCCUGAUGUUUCUGCAGUUACAUCAAUAAAUGAUUUUAAAAAAA